AGCAGAGGCUGCCGCUGCGCGUCCCCUAAGCGCGGAAGAGGCGGCUGGUGGUCCCCGACGGCAAGGUGAAGUCGAGGCAGUAAUCGGGAACCUAGGUUGGGAGGACAGAAUGGGGAACAGGAAGCUGGGGCGAGGGUGGCCUUGGGGGAGGUGGGGGGCCGCGGAAUUCUAGGUGGCCCCUGCCUCACCUCUGGAAAGAACCGGAAGCCCGGGCCGGGGAGGGUGAAGGGAGUCGCGGACCCGGCUGCUCAGCCGAGGAGGAAACCCGGACCCCAGGCUGAGGGAGGCCGAAGAAGGAACUGGAGGGCCGGGCUGGGAAGGCCUGAAGCAGGUACAGGCUUUAGGCUGGGGAGGGUCGAGGGGAGAACUCGGAGCCUGAGUCGGGCGAGGUUUUGCUCCACUCUGGCUUCUAAGUGUGAGGGCCUCAGGAUGUAACCCGUGGUCGUAAACCUGAGGGUGACUUGGAGUUUUUGUCCGUUUUGCACCAUGAGAAAGGCCCCAAGUGGAAUCUGGCAGGUAGCGGCGGCUCAGUAUGUGUGUGUCUGCCUUAGGGCGUGUUUUACACUGUUGACGAAAAGACUCAAACUCUAAAGUAUUUGAAGAGACUUAUUCUGAGCUAAAUAUGAGUGACCAAUGGCCGGUGGCCCAGCCCUCAGGAGAUCUUGAGAACCUGUGUCCAGGGUGGUCGGGAUAUAUGUGGUUUUAUAUCUUUUAGGGAAACAUGAGACACCAAUCAAAUACAUGUAAAAUGUACAUUGAUUCCCUCCGGAAAGGCGGGACAACUGGAAGGUGGCUGGCCUUCCAGGUCAUAGGUAGAUUCAAAGAUUAUUUGAUUGGCAAUGGGUUGAGUUAUUGACGUAAGACUUAGGAAUGUCUCCAGGUAGCAGGCUUCACAGAGAAUAGAUUGUAAAUGUUUCUUUUCAGACUUGGGGUCUUUUCUAUCAGUAAUUCCAAAAUGGAGGAGGGGAUAAUGAGGCAUGUCCGACCCGCCCACCCCCGCCUUUCCAUCAUGGCUUUACUAGUUUUUCAGGUUAGGAAUGCCCUGGCCAAGAGGAGGGAUCCAUUCAGAUGGUCUGGGUGUGCUUAAGAUUUUAUUUUUGGUUUACAACACCAGCACCACCGGAGUUUGCUGGUGUCCUUUUCAGUCAGUUUCAAAGCAGAGACAGCCAUAGUUCUGAUUUGUGUCACUGUAACUGUCAGUUCUGGAAUUCCGUAUUUCUCCUUUAGUUUACCCUAAUGUCUGUGAGAUUUCAUGUGUAGUUCAUUUUUCUUUUUCUGAACAGCACUCCAUUGUGCAAAUAUACCACAAUUUGUGUAGUCAUUUUUCUGUUGUUGAACAUUUGGCAUAUUUACAGGUUUUAUACAUUACGAAUAAAGCUGGCACGUUUCCAUUUCUCCUGGGCAAAUAUUUAGAAGAAAAGUUGCUAGGUAAUUGGUAAGUUUACAUUUAACUUUCCAAGAAGCCGAUAAGCCUUUUAGAAUGAUUAGUUGUGAUUUGUGUGUGUGAGAUUGUGUAACUGGAGUAAGUAGUUUUUGAGUUUGCUUUGCUAUGUUUGUAUGGAAUUAUGAGAUGGGCUCAACAGGGUUGUGAAUGUCAUGUAGGGUCCAUAGAUUGUGGCUUUGUGGAGUAGGUAAGAUCACAGGAAACUGAAUGUGUCUGUGCUAAUUGUUAUUUAUCAUGGUUUUGUGUGUACAUUCCAUGAUAACUGAAAAUGGAUCACUAUGUAAGUGAUGUUAAUGACUGAAGAACUCUGUGUGUCUGGUGUAUUUCAUUUUGCUUGCAGAAUUAUGACAGUUUCUAAUAACCAAAAUAUCACAAGCAUUGGAAACUAGGAGGUAAAAUUAUAAUUUCUAGAUGACAGGGUUGCAUUACCUGGAAACAUCAUACAAACUAAAUCCAAUAUGUUGAAAUGAGGAGGACUCCAUAUGUAGCACAGAAGAAAAAUACUUUCAUCCCUACCACUUUGAAUAGUUAUAUAGAUGAGGUCCCAUCCCCCCGUCCCCUGCUUGCCCCUGGAUGAAAUUGAGGGCGAUUUAAUGCCCUCCUAAAUCACUUUAAGCCAGGUAAAAGUACUUGAAAUACUAAAAAUCACAAAGUCAGCUGUGUAGUAAUUAAAAUAGUCAUUUUCUAAUUAAAAUAUUUACUGUAAAAAUCAAAUUUCAAACUUCAUUUAAAAGAAAAAUUCCUUUCAACUGUCUGGAGCCUACAGUGUAAUUACUUUCUUCUCUACUUCCCCAACCUGUAUUACUAAAUAGUUACUAUCUGGCAUAAUGAUUAGUAUUUAAUAGUAAAUGUUUAUUAGUUAACUAGGCAGGUUUAACCAAGUUAUUAUAGAAACUCUAAGAGGUUUCACAUGUGUUUUUUUUGUUUUGUUUUGUUUUGUUUGUUUGUUUUGAGGUGGAGUCUUGCUCUGUCACCCAGGUGGGAGUGCAAUGGCGUCGUCUCGGCUCACUGCAACCUCCGCCUCCCGGGUUCAAGCAAUUAUCCUGCCUCAGCCUCCCAAGUGGAGACAAGGUUUCGCCACAUUGACUGGGCUGGUCUCGAACUCCUGAGCUCAAGCAACCCGCCCUCCUUGACCUCCCAAAGUGCUAGGAUUACAGAAUGUCGUCUUCAGGAUUAAAAAUAUGCAUGGAGCUGUCAUCACCUAUGAAAAAAAUGCCUUCUUCUGGAUACCUCCUGAAGGACUUGCCUAAGGCUGUUUUUCAGUUACUUUUUUUUUUUAAUAAGUAGAAGGAGUACAGUCUAAAAUAAUAAUACAAAUAGUACAAUAAAUUACAUAAACUAGUAAUGUAAUCACUUAUUAUUAUCACCUAUUACGUACUAUACAUAAUUGCAUGUGCUAUAUUUUUAUACAACUGGAAGCACAGUAGGUUUAAUUACACCAGCGUCACCACAAACACCUGAGUGAUAUGUUGCAUGACAACGUCAACAAGUGAUAGGAAUUUUUCAGCUCCAUUGUAAUCUUAUGGGACCACCAUUGUAUAUGUGUCCAUCAUUGAGUAAAAUGUUAUUACAUGACACAUGACUGUAUGUGUUCAUCAGGAAUAUGUAUGCUGGUAUGAACCUAUAAUGAGAGUGUUAAAUUUUAUGAAGCAAAAACUAACAGAACAAAAGAAAGAUCCACACGCAUAAUUGGAAAUCCACAAUUAUAUCUCAUUAAUUGAUAGCACUUGUAGGCAAGAAAUUCAGUAGUAUAUGUAAUCAGCUCUUCAUAUAUGCAGAUUCAACCAAUGGCAACGCACAAAUAUUCAGAAAAAACACAAUGACAGUAAAAAAAAUACAAAUUUUAAAAUACAGUAUAAAAUUAUUUACAUAGCAUUUACAUUGUAUUAGGUAUUAUAAAAAAUCUAGAGAUGGUUUAAAGUAUACGGAAGGUUGUGCAUAGGUUAUAUGCAACUACUACACCAUUUUGUAUAACAAACUUGGGCAUCUGUAGGUUUUGGUAUCCACAAGGUGUCCUGGAACCAGUCCCCUGUGGAUAGCAAGGGACAACUGUAUAGAAGAUGUGAACCACACCAGUCAACAUGACCUAAUUGUUGUUUACAGAACACCAUACCCACAAUUGAAAAAUUACAUUCUUUUCAUGUACCUGAACAGUCCCCACAAUAGACUAUAGGCUGGACCAUAAGUCACAAUAAACUUCAAAAGAUUGCCACAUUACAGGGAAUGUGCAUUAGAAACCAGUAAUAAGAAACCUAUACAGUCGUUCAAUACAUGGAAAUUAAAUAACCCACUUCUAAAUCUACAGAUCAUUGAAUAAGGGGAAAAUGUUUUGAAAUAUGAAAAAGUGACAAUACAGCAUAUCAAAAUUGGAAGGAUACAGCUAAAGCAGAGUUGAGAGGAAUGUUAAGUACUUAAAUAAAAAAAGGAGAAAUUCAUAGCAGCAUUAUUCACAAUAGCCAAGAAAUAGGUACAACCCAGAUGUCCAUCAGUGGAUGAAUGGAUAAACAAAAUGUGGUAAUAUGAUUUGGAUAUUUGUUCCCUCAAAAUCUCACAUGGACAUGUGACCCCCAAUGUUGGAGGUGGCACCUAGUGGGAGGUGUUGGAUUAUGGGGUGGAUCUCAUGAAUGGCUUGGUGUCCUCCACAUGGAUAUGAGUUCACCCUAUAGCUAGUUGUUUAAAAGAGCCUGGCACCUCCUCCCUCCCCCUUUUGUUCCCUCUUGCCAUGUGAUAUGCUAGCUCUUCCUUUGCCUUCUGCCAUAAUUGUAAGCUUCCUGAGGCCUCACCAGAAGCAGAUGCUGGCACUAUGCUUCUUGUACAGCCUAUAGAACCAUAAGCUAAAUAAAUCAUUUUUCUUUAUAAAUUACCCAGCCUCAGGUAUUCCUUUAUAGCAACACAAAAUAGACUAAUACAUGUGGCAUAUACAUACAAUGUAAUAUUAUUCAGCCUUGGAAGGAAAUUUUGACAUAUGCUACAAUGUGGCUGAACCUUGAGGAUAUUCUAACAAGCCAAUCACAAAAAGAUAACUACUUAUGAUUCCACUCAUAUGAAGUAUCUAGAGUAGUCCAACUCAUAAAAUCAGAAAGUAUUACUGGUCUCCCACUUUUAGGCUAUUAACGCUUGUAGUGAGAGUUUGUAGGUUUCUUGUGGUUGCCAGGGGCUGGGGGCGGGGGGGGAAAGGGUAAUUAUUAUUUGAUGGAUAUAGUUUCACAUUUACAGGAUGAAAAAGUUGUGGAUGUUGGUUGUACAAAAAUGGGAAUAUACUUAAUGCUGCUGAGCUGUGUACUCAAAUAGUUAAGAUGGUAAAUUUUAUAUUACAUGUAUACUUUGCUACAAUUUUUAAAAAUGAAGAAAGGCUUAAACAAGAAUAAUAAACAUGCUAUAUGCUAAACCAAAAGUCAAAAAAAAGAAAUAAAGAUGGGCAUAAAUCGGCCGGGCGUGGUGGCUCAUGCCUGUAAUGCCAGCACUGUGGGAGGCCGAGACGGGCGGAUCACGAGGUCAGGAGAUCGAGACCAUCCUGACUAACACAGUGAAACCCCAUCUCUACUAAAAAUGCAAAAAAUUAGCCGGGAGUUGUGGCAGGCGCCUGUAGUCGCAGCUAUUCGGGAGGCUGAGGCAGGAGAAUGGCCUAAAUCCGGGAGGAGGAGCUUGCAGUGAGCCAAGAUCGGGCCACUGCACUCCAGGCUGGGUGACAGAGCGAGACUCCAUCUCAAAAAAAAAAAAAAAAAAAGAUGAGCAUAAAUCAAUUAGGUAGAAAUAGAAAGCAGACCAUUAAGAAAAUGAACAAAACAAAAAGUUUAUUUGAAGGUAUUUUAAAAAUUGAUAAAUCCUAGUAAGCAUAAUUAAUAAAAGAGAAAACACAAAUUACCCAUGUCAGGAAUAAAAAUGAAGAUGCCACUACGGAUCCUAUAGACAGUAAAAUGAUAAGGCAAUAUUAUGAACAAUUUUAUGCCAGUAAAUUUGACAUUUUAGAUGAAAUUCAUCCAUUCCUUUAAAAGCACAGCUUCUCAAAACUCUUGACUCGAGAUGAAAUAGAAAAACAAAGUCUGUAUCUAAUUUUUUGUUUGUUUGGAGACAGGGUCUUGCUCUGUCACCCAGACGAGUCUAGUGGCAUGAUCAUGACUCACUACAGACUCAACCUACUAGUAUCAAGUGAUUCUCCUGUCUCAGCCUCCCAAGUAGAUGGGACUACAGGUGGGCACCACUAUGUCCAGCUAAUUAAAAAAAAAAUUUAGAGACAGGGUCUCACUUUGUUGUGCAGGCUGGUCUUGAACUCCUGGGCUCAAGAAAUCCUCCCACCUUGGCCUCCCAAAGUGCUGAGAUUUCAGGCAUGUGCCAUGACACCUGGCCUAAAAUUUUAAGUUUUAAUAAAUAAAAAUCCAUACAUACAGAACCAGGUUCAGCUCCACUGAAACCCCUGCAACAGCCAAAAGUAAAUGUAACAUGGUUUUGAAUGCUGUCUUAAUCCAGGGCACAUGAAAAACCCUUAAAAACAAAAACAAAGCAUACCUCUGCCCCACCGAGAUGAGCUCAAAAACAAAAAUUACAAACAACAAGGAAAUAACCAUCACAGGAGGGUCAGCAGAGUAAAUAAAUAAUAAAGUUGGCACCUACAAGAACUGCAUAUGAUAUGACAAUAUGAAAGAAUAUGAAAUGUUUUAAAUGGAAAAAAACUCAUAAUGAAAGCAUAAUACUUAAAAAGAAUCAGUAGAUUUAAAAAAUAACCAAAGAAAAUUUCUAGAAAUAAAAAAGAUCUUAAGUAUAGAGAACAUAACAGGCACAGCUCAAAAUUAAUGAACUUAAAGAUAUAUCUGAAGAGAUUACCUAUAAUGCAGCACAGAGAUAAAAAGUGAAAUACAGAUGAGAAACUGAGACAUGGAAGAAAAUAAAAGGGCCCAAGACACAUCUAAUAAAUGUCAUAAAAGGAGAAAAAGGAGGAGAAGCAUCAGAAGAAAAAGUGGUUUACAACUUUUCAUAAUUAAACUCAAUUUUAAGGUGAGGAAUCAAAAUGAGUGUCAAGUAAGAUAAUGAAAGCGGAUCUAACACCUAGACACAUCACAGUGAUAAUGCAAAACAGAAAUCUUGAAAAGAAGGAAGGGAGGGAAGGAAAGAAAAGAAAAACAGAAAAGACAUGCUACCUAAAAGGAAAGAUGAUUGGGCACAAGAUAUCAGAAGACAGGAGAAUAAUACCUUCAAAGUGAUAGAGGAAAAGUAGCAAUUAAGAGUGGGGCAAAAUAAAGACAUUUUCAGACAAGGUAAGGUUUUUCUCAUAGACUCACUGGAAGAAUUUCUAAAGGAUGUGAAUCAGCAAAAAGAAAAACCCAGAAAGAAUGAGAUAAAAUUUUAAAUGAUGAGCAAGGAAAUUGGUAAAUAUGUUGGGGAUUCUGUUUACUAAGUAAUGAUGAUUACUUUUUAUGGAAUUUCAAAACAAAUUAGAUCAAAAGCACCCGACAAAAAUAGAAAGAGGCCGGAUGCAGUAGUUCACACCUGUAAUCCCAGCACUUUGGGAGGCCAAGAUGGGCAGAUCACUUGAGGUCAGGAGUUGGAGACCAGCCUGGCCAACAUGCUGAAACCCCAUCUUCACUAAAAAUACAAAAAUCAGCUGGGUGUGGUGGUGCUCACCUGUAAUCCCAGCUACUCAGGAGGCUAAGGCAAGAUAAUCGCUUGAACCCAGGAGGUGGUGGUUGCCGUGAACUGAGAUUGCCCCACUGCACUCCACCCUGGGUAACAGAGGGAGACUCUGUCUCAAAAAAAAAAAAAAAAGAAGAAAGAAUGUACUUACAGCAUUCUAAGGUCUUUUUUAUUGCUCAAGAAGGAGAUACCAAUUAGUCAUUAAGUCAAAGAUGCAAGGUUAAGAGUAACUUCCGAUAGUAAAGCAAUACAAUAUCUUAUUUUUAAUCCAGUGCAGGGGAAAGGAGAAUAAAGAGCACUUAAUUGAUCUCAUAGAAGUCAAUAAAACAUAAAAGCAGCAGCAAGUAUAAGCCUGAUUAAAAAGAAAGUGGGGAAAGAGAUGGGUCAUUGAGCUAAGGGGAGGCCUGGUGACAGCUCUUGGAAGAUGAAGUCUGACCAGAAUAGCACAUAAGUCAAUCAGGUUGCUGUGGCCAAAGUGCAUGGUCCUUGCCUCUCUGAGUUUGUGGUAGGGAGAAACAACAAACCCAACACUAAACAUGGAGGAAAGAACUAAAGACUCAGGCCUAUCAGUUUCCACUCCCUGCCCUCCCAUUACUCCCAGUUUAAAGGCUUACAUGGGCUCAUGGAUGAGUGGGAAGUUUUUGUGAGGUUUGAUAGAGAAAUGAGCUGCCUCUUGACCAGCAGAGAGCCCCAGGUUCAUCCUCAUGUGGAGUAACAGAGCUGCAGGGCAGUCAGUGUUCCAGAGCCCUGUGCUCACAGAUCUAGCUACAAUCCCCACCUGCACUGUUUUUAGUUGUGUGUAUCCCUUAAUGUUACUGAACCUCAUUCUGUUCUGAUGUAAAAUGAAGACAGGCAUUUCUGCUCAACCCAUUUCAUCUGUAAAUUGAGGGAAUAAGUCUUUAUGAAAUGAGACAAAGUAUAUUCAGUGUCUGCAGUGCAGUCAAUAAAUUAGUGUCUUUCUGUUUCUCACAAAACUGAAAUAAAAGCUGGAAAAUUGCUUUGUAAACCAUAAGGCACUAUGCAUACAAAAGAGAUUACUAUGAAUUUUUCCUAAGUGAUUAACUCAUGACUCCUUUCCAUACUCCUCAGCAGUGGCAACAUUGGGAGGCUGGAUUUUGGUGGGAUGGAAGAUAACAAGGAGACUCUGGUUUCUGGCCAGCUCCAGGACUGGAUGUGAUGGUUAACGAUACUUAACAUCACCACACAGCUCAUUCUCUAGCUGGCUCAGUAACUAUGGAUCUCUAAGCAAUGUCUUAACAUUUACGCUUACAUCUGCUAAGCUAAGUAUGUACUGUUCCUUGAUUUACAUGCCAAAUUGAUUAUUUAAGGGAUUCCAACUGUGGAUCAUGAGGCAGAGGAGGUGACAAUGAAAGGUCAGGCAAAGACAGGAGUGUCCAUUGUGGAAUACGAAAUCCCAUCCUCACUAUAAAACAUUAUAUGCUGUUUAUUACAUUUUAACUUCAGAAAUUAUCAACUCCAUUUUCCAUUUCCUUGUAAUAUGUAUUGAGCUUUUCAGUCCUGUUUUGUCAUCAUGCAAACAAGUAAAAUUCUUAAGGAUGCAGACCCACCUAAUAGUACUAAAAGGGAAUCUUUAAAAAAUAUGGAGAUGUCUUCUCCCUAUGGAGCUGCAGGGGAAAAGACACCACUCUGUGUCAUAAAAUCUAUUUAAAUGGUUGCCGGGCGCGGUGGCUCACACCUGUAAUCCCAGCACUUUGGGAGGCCGAGGCAGGUGGAUCAUGAGGUCAGGAGUUCAAGACCAGCCUGACCAAUAUGAUGAAACCCCAUCUCUACUAAAAAUAUAAAAAUUAGUGGGGUGUGGUGGUGCGCAUCUGUAAUCCCAGCUACUCAGGAGGCUGAAGCGGGAGAAUUGCUUGGAGCCGGGAGAUGGAGGCUGCAGUGAGCUGAGAUGAUGCCAUUGCACUCCAGCCUGGGCAACAGAGCGAAAGCGAGACUCCGUCUCAAAAAAAAAAAAAAAAAAAAGCUAUUUAAAAGAACCUGAUAUGAUAAAGUAUUGAAUUGAGAACACUCAGUGAAUAUCAGCAUUACUCUCCUGUUCAGUAGAGAGAUAACUCUGAUCAUCCUCAGCUAUUUUCCUGUCUAUAAUUUGCUUAUUUGUAUUAUUUGUGCAAAGGAGUCUUUAAGACCUCAUAUUUCAAUAGUAAUCCUAAAUCCUGUUGUUUAUGUCAUAAUUCACUGCCCUGAUAAUGCUUAAACUCAUCUCUGUUUUUCUAAAAGACAUAAAUAUGUAUAAGGUUUCUAUAUUAAGAAAAAAGACGAGUAUGCAGUUUCUGUUUACUCCUAUCAGCAUAAAGGUAUAAUAAAAUCCCAUGAGUGGCUGGGCGUGGUGGCUCACACCUGUAAUCCCAACACUUUGGGAGGCUGAGGCAGGUGGAUCACUUAAGGUCAGGAGUUUGAGACCAGCCUGGCCAACAUGGUGAAACCCCGUCUCUACUAAAAAUACAAAAAUUAGCUAGGUGUGGUGGCGAGCACCUGUAAUCCCAGCUACUCAGGAGGCUGAGGCAGGAGAAUCACUUGAACCCAGGAGGCGGAGGUUGCAGUGAGCCAAGAUCAUGCCACUGCACUUGAGCCGGGGUGUCAGAGCAAGACUCCAUCUCAGGGAAAAAAAAAAAAUCCCAUUAGGGAAAUGCACAAAAAAACAAUAAUGAGAUACUAUGAAUACACCUACUACAAUGGCUAUAAUUUAUUUUAAAGUGUUCAGAAGGAUGUUGAGAAAUAAAAACUCUUUUACCCUGCUAGUGGGAAUGUAAAAUGGUCCAGUUGCUGUGAAAAUCAAUCUGGCAGUUCCUGAAAUGGUUAAACAUAAUGUUAGCAUAUAAUCUCCAGUUCUGCUCCUCAGAUCUACCUGACAGAAAUGAAAACAUUUCCACACUAAAACAGGCACAUGAAUCUUCACAGCAGCAUUAUUCACAGUAGCCAAAAAAUGGAAACAACCUAAACAUCCGUCAGCUGAUGAAUGGGUAAGCAAGAUGUCAUAUCCUUACCACACCUUAGAAUAGUAUUCAGUCAUAAAAAGAAAGUAAUAAUGAUACACGUUACAUGGAUGAACCUUCAAAACAUUAUGGUAAGUUAAAGAAGCUAGUCAUGAAGGAUUUACAUACUGCAUGACUCCAUUUAUAUGAAAUGUCCAGAACAGGAAAAUCUCUCAAGAAAAAGCACAUUAACGGUUGCCUAGGGCUGGAGGGCAUGGGGGUUUGGAAGUGACAGCUAAGGGGAGCUGGAUUUCUUUGGGAGAUAAAUACGAUCUAAAAUUGUGGUGAUGCUUGAGCCCAGGAGUUUGAGACCAGACUCGCCAACAUGGUGAAACCCUUUCUUUACUAAAAAUACAAAAAUUAGCUGGGUGUGGUGGCGUGUGCCUGUCAUCCCAGCUCUUUGGGAGGCUGAAGCAGGAGAAUCGCUUGAACCCGGGAGGAGGAAGUUGCAGUGAGCUGAGAUCAUGCCACUGCAGUCCAGCCUCAGUGAAAGAGCAAGACUCUCUCAAAAUAAAAUAAAAUUGUGGUGAUGAAUGUAUAACUCUGUGAAUAUACAAAAAUCCAUUGAAUUGUACACUUUAAAUGGGUGAAUUGUAUAUGAAUUAUGGCUCAAUAAAGUGGUUUUAAUGUGUCUCAUGCCUUAAGGGAUUACUUGUUUAGUAUAUGGCCUCCAGUAGUGGUUUAAUGAAAUUCCGUGGGAGAUCUCUUGAGCUUUAUUCAGAGUGUUGUUUUACCCUCCUAGCGUCCACUCCCUGCCGUCUUUACAUAGGAGAACCACAGUCCUGUAUUCAGAGGUAAAAGUGGAUAAGUACCUCAUGAUUUGAGGAUGGGUGUGAUGGAAAGAGAGUUGUCAUUCACUUGGUCUGCCCUGUUCCCUAAGUGUAUGUUGGCUCCCCACACCUCUGUCAUCCUUGUUCUGAAAUGAGUGCUAUUCCACCUCAGGAACAUACUGAUGACCCCCAGCACUGUGAAAAUCAGAACAGUGAAUGGCAAGAUUCAAAAGGGCCAUGACAAAUAUUAGGGAAAUAGAAAAGUAGAAUGAGAUCCAUCCAUUGUGGAUCAAACCUAACAGACAAUGGCAGCAAGAAGUUGGGAGAGAAGAGAAACUUUCUCUGAAGUCUUGCCUAUUCUGUGCCUCCAAUAAUAUGCCCCUUCCCCAUACCUUGCCCAAUGAAUCUCUUCAUCUGUAUCCUUUGUAAUAUCCUUUAUAAUAAACCAGCAAACAUAAGUGUUCCCCUGAGUUCUGUGAGCCACUUCAGCAAAUUAAUUGAACCCAAAGAGGAGGUUGUGAGAACCCCAUCUUUUUUUUUUUAGGACAGGAUCACGCUCUGUCGCCCAGGCUGGAGUGCAAUGGCACAGAUCACUGCUCACUGUAACCUUGAAUUCCUGGGCUCAAGUGACCCUUUCACCUCAGCCUCCCAAGUAGCUAGGACUACACAGGCUUAUACCUCCAUACCCAGCUAAUUUUACUUUUUAUUUUCUUGAGACAGGUCUCAGUAUGUUGCCCAGGCUGGUCUUGAACUCUUGGCCUCAAGUGAUCCUCCAGUCUUGAGCCACUGUAAAUGUCUGGGAAUGCCAGCUUGAAGCCCAGCUGGUCAGAAGUUCUAGAGGCCCAGACUUGCAACUGGUGUCUGAAGGGAUGGCAGUCGUGGGGACUGAGCCCUCAACCUGAGGGAUCUGAUGCUAUUUCCAGGCAGAUAGUGUCAGAAUUAAAUUGGAGGAUACGCAGUUAGUGUCUGCUGCAGAACUGAUUUGUUUGCUUGCUGGUAGGGGGAAAUCCCCACAUAUCUGGGGGUCAUUGAAGUCUUUGGUGUUGACUCUUACUGUGUUUGUUGUUUUCAUGUGAGAGCAGAGGAAAAGCAAGGAAAUGUUUUCCUCUGGUCUGUUUUCCAGACCAGUCUUUACAGAAACACACAAAGAGCUUCAAACAACACUGCACUUACACAGCCCUAAAAGUUAGUAAGUACCUCUUUCAGUUCUGCACUCCAAGCACUUCAAUGAUUUCAGCCUUACUGUAGUCCUGGUGUUGAUUUUAACAUCCACCUCUCAGCAACCGGCAAAAAAAAAAAAAAAAAAAAAGAGACAAAAAAUAUCAGUGAAGAUAUAUGGAUUAUCAACCAACUUGAUAAAAUUAAUAUUUUGCACAAUAAUGCACCCAACAACUGUAAAAUACAUGUCCUUUUCAAGUGCACAUGUUUUAUUCAAGACAGACCACAUAUUAGGCCAUAAAAAAAAGCAUCCGUGAAUUUCAAAGGAUCAAAAUUGUACACAAUGUGUUCUUCGGUCAAAUGAAAUUAGGAAUCACUGACAAUGAAGUACCUAGAAAACCCACAAAUGUUUGGAAAUUAAACACACUUCUACAUAAUCCAUAGGUUAAAGAAGAAAUCAAAGGGAAAAAGAAAAUAGUUUGAACUAACUGAUAAUGAAAAUGCACCAUAUAAAAAUUUGUGGGGCCUGGCAUGGUGGCUCGUAUGUAUAAUCCCAGCACUUUGGGAGGCCAAGGCAGGCAAAUCGCUUGGGCUCAGGAGUUUCAGACCAGCCUAGGCAACAGGGUGAAACCUCAUAUCUACAAAAUACAAAAAUUAACAGGAUGUGGUGGUGUGCAAUUGCGUGGCUGUGGUCCCAGCUAUGUGGGAGGCUGAGGCAGGAGGAUCGCUUGAGCCUGUGAAGUCGAGGUUGCAGUGAGCCAUGAUCGCACCACUACACUACAGCCCAGGUGGCAGAGUGAGACUCUGCCUCAAAAAUAAAUAAGUAAAUACGUAAAUAAAUAAAAAGAAAAUUUGUGGAAUGGAGUUAAAGUAGAGAUUCUGGAUUUAAAUGCUUAUAUUAGAAGAGAAGGCCUAUAAUCAAUAACUACAGGUUCUACUUUAAAAGGCUAGAAAAGGAAAAGCAGAGUAAACCCUCAGUACCCAGAAGAAAGGAAAUAAGAUGAGAGAAAAAAAUAAAUGAAAUAGAUAUAUAAUUAGCCAAACUAAAAGUGAAUUCUCUGAAAAAUCAACAAAAUUGAUAAAACCUUGGGUGGGCACGAUGGCUCAUGCCUGUAAUCCCAGUACUUUGGGAGGCCGAGGCGGGCAGAUCACCUAAAGUCAGGAGUUUGAAACCAGCCUGGCCAACAUGGUGAAACCCCAUCUCUACUAAAAAUACAAAAAUUAGCCAGGCAUGGUGGCAUGCGCCUGUAGUCCUAGCUACUCUGGAGGCUGAGGGAGGAGAAUCACCUGAACCUGGGAGGUGGAGGUUGCAGUGAGCUGAGAUAGUACCAGUGCACUCCAGACUUGGCAACAGAGCAAGACUCCGUCUCAAAAAAAAAAAAAAAAAAAAAAAAGUUGAUAAAACCUUAGCUAGAAUUAUAAAUUUAAAAACUGCAAAGACAAAUUACCAAUAUCAAAAUGAAAGAACUUAUCACUAAGGAGCAUUUUAGAUAUUAGAAGUCCAACAGAAUUAUUACUGCGAGGCCAAGGUGGGCAGAUCAUGAGGUCAAGAGAUCGAGACCAUCCUCCCAACAUGGUGAAACCCUAUCUCUACUAAAAAUAGAAAAAUUAGCUGGGCAUGGUGGUGUGCGCCUGUAGUCCCAGCUACUCAGGAGGCUGAGGCAGGAGAAUCGCUGGAACCCAGGAGGCAGAGGUUGCAGUGAGCCGAGAUUGCACCACUGUACUCCAGCCUGGUGACAGAGUGAGACUCCGUCUCAAAAAAAAAAAAAAAGAAAAUAAUUAUUAUAGACAACUUAAGUCAACAAAUUUGAGAAUUCAGAUGAAAUGGACAAAAUUUCUAAAAAAUAUAUAUAUAACUUACUAAAACACAUAAGAUGAAACAGAUACAUUAAGGAAAUUGAGGCCAGACGCGGUGGCUCACACCUGUAAUCCCAGCACUUUGGGAGGCUGAGGCGGGCGGAUCACGAGGUCAGGAGAUCGAGACCAUCCUGGCUAACACGGUGAAACCCCGUCUCUACUAAAAAAUACAAAAAAAUCAGCCGGGCGUGGUGGCGGGCACCUGUAGUCCCAGCUACUCAGGAGGCUGAGGCUGGAUAAUGGCGUGAACCCAGGAGGCGGAGCUUGCAGUGAGCCAAGAUCGUGCCACUGCACUCCAGCCUGGGUGACAGAGCGAAACUCCAUCUCAAAAAAAAAAAAAAAAGGAAAUUUAAUUUAUUACAUCAAAAAAAGAAAUCUCCAGGCCUAGAUGGUUUUGCCAGAUAAUUCAACCAGAAAUUUAAGGAACAAAUAACACCAAUCUUACACAGACUUUUCCAGAAAAUAGGGAAGGAGAGGACCGUUCAUUUUUUGAGGCCACUACUACCCUAAUACCAAAACCUGAUAAAGAUAUUACAAGGAAAGAAAUGACAGACCAAAAACCUCAUGCAAAAAUUCUUAAGAAAAUGGUAGCAAAUUUGGCUGGGCAUAGCAGCUCGUGCCUAUAAUCCCAGCACUUUGGGAGGCCAUGGCGGGUGGACCACUUGAGGUCGGGAGUUGGGAGACCAGACUGGCCAACAUGGUGAAACCCUGUCUCUACUAAAAAUACAGAAAAAAAAAAAAAUUAGCCAGGCAUGGCAGUGCAUGCUUGUACUCCCAGUUACUUGGGAGGCUGAGGUGGGAGGAUCACUUGAACCCGGGAGGUGGAGGUUGCAGUGAGCCGAGAUCAUGCCACUGCACUGCAGCCUGGGCAACAGAGCAAGACUUUGUCUCAAAAAAAGAGAAAGGCCGGGCAUAGUGGCUCACACCUGUAAUCCUAGCACUUUGAGAGGCCAAGGCAGGCAGACUGCCUGAGCUCAGGAGUUCAAGACCACCCUGACCACCCUGGGCAACAUGGUGAAACUCCGUCUCCACUAAAAUACAAAAAACUAGCUGGGCAUGGUGACACGUGCCUGUAGUCCCAGAUACUCGGGAAGCUGAAGCAGGAGAAUCGCUUGAAUCUGGGAGGUGGAGGUUGCAGUGAGCCGAGAUCACGCCACUGCAAUCCAGCCUAGGCAACAAAGCAAGACUCUGUCUCCAAAAAAAAAGAAAAAAAGAAAAUGGUAGCAAAUUUAAUCUAGAAAUAUGUAAAAAGGUUACAAAAUGAACCACUAAUACAAGAUUUAACCAAAAAAAAAAAAAAGAAAUAGAAAAUGCUGCUAGAAGCAGUUGGGUUGGCUGGGAGGCAGGAUUCCAUGUAGGCCAAUGACAUUUUGAAAUGGCAUUGUUUUCUGCUUAACAGUUUUAAAAAUCAAUUUUAUUCAUAUUAGUUGAAUAAAGGAGAAAAAAAUAUGAUCACUUUAGUAUACAAAAAAUUAUUGGACAAAAUACAAUAUCCCUUCAUGAUGAAAACUCUCAGCAAGCUAGAAGUAGAUGAGAACUUGUUCAAUUUGAUAGUCUAUGAAAACCUCCAGCUAUAAUAUAGUGAUGAAAUAUUAAAUACAAUCCUCCUAUGAUAAAAAAGGCAACAAUGCCUAUCUAUGACUACUAAUGCAAGUCCUAGCGAUUACAAUAAGGCAACAAAAUAAAUGAAACCUAUAAAUACUGGCAAAGAAGAAAACUUCCUCUGUAGAUGACACAAGUAUUUACUUAAAAAUCCUAAAGAGUAGAUUCUUUUUUCUUUUUAUAGAUAGGGUCUCAGUCUGUCACCCAGGCUGGAGUUCAGUGGCGCGAUCACCGCUCACUGCACCCUCGACCUCCCCAGCUCAGGUGAUUCUCCCACCUCAGCCUCCAGAGUAUCUGGGACUACAGGCAUGCGCCACCUCACCUGGCUAAUUUUUUGUAGAGAUGGAGUUUCCGCCAUGUUGCCCAGGCUACUCUUGAACUCCAGGGCUCAAGCGAUCUGCCUGCCUCAGCCUCCCAAAGUGCUGGGAUUACAGGCAUGAGCCACUGUGCCUGGACAGGUCCCAAUCUAUAAUCGAAUGAAAUCAGCUUCUUUUAAUCAUCCGUCCACCAUCUUUUGGAUAGUCCAAUACCUCUUCAAGAGCUUUCAUUUUACUGUUCCAAAAAAAAGGGCUGAACCGAUAGUGGAUGCUAAAUAUUAAUGAGAAAAUAGAGGGAUCCAUUAGGAGAAUCUUGGGCUGUUUGGCAUCAUCACUCACUGGAACUGGGGACAACUUCUUAGAUCUCUGUUACAUAGGACAUUUCAAGAUAAGGUAAUGUUUACAUGAUCUAAAAUAUGACUGUGUUUAAGAAGUAGAGACAAACAGUUCACCAAAACCAUGGCUAAAAAUGGUUAAGAACUUGUCAGUCCUCCUCAGGGGUCUUCUCUUUGCAGAAGCACAGAGACCACAGAGGCAAGAGCUGGGGAAGGAAAACUGCCCAUGAGAUGAGAUGUGCCUCUCAGCUUCCAAAAUCGGGGAGGGUUGCAAAGGGAUGACACCAUCCACACCAGAACUGCAUGAAUGGCAUCAGGGAUGAUCAGAGACCAUAAAUUCCAGUGAGACCAAUAACACCAUUUCUGGUCCUGCAUGCUCUUCCAAACUUUGCCACUAACUCCUUCAAGAGAAUCCAGCCAUCGUGCUGUGAGGAAUCCAAGCAGCUACAUAGAAAGGCCACAACUAGAUAUUCCAGCUGUAGUCAGCUGAAGCUCCAGCCAACAGCCAACAUCAACCACCACGCGUGAAAACGAGCA